ensembl:lncRNA
AUUAGGGCUGAGAGGGGAUAUUUUUUGGGGACCCUAGUCUGCCAUCUUCUGGGUCUGCUAGCUUUCCAAUUACAAUCGUUAUUCCUUGUUCAAAUAUCGUCUCCCAAUUUCCUGACCUGUCGUGAGGUGACUGGAACAAGCUUGGGCUCAAUAACAAUUCUAAGUGGACUGUGAUACAAAAAGCAGAGUGCAUUUUAGAACCGUAUUGUGAUAUCAUCUCAUUUUUCAAGCUGAAGAAACACAUGAAACUUUCCGUUUCCCUGAGCCUACCUCCCUCACACACAUCUUCUAUGGAAACGUGGUUGUCCCUUGGUAUCCAUGGGGUAUUGAUUCCAGGACCUGGACACCGAGGUCCAUGGAUUCUCAUGUCCCUUCUAUAAAAGGAGACAGUUGGCUCCAUAUCCACGGACUCCUCACACACCGUUAGACUUGCUCUCUGGUUGGCUGAACGCCCGAAUGUGCCUGGAGGAUGUGGAGUUGUUGUUGCUUAGUUGCUCAGUCCUGACUCUUUGAGACCCCAUGCCUACCAGGCUCCUCUGUCCAUGGGAUUUCACAGCACUGCAAUCCUUGUGAAAACUAAAAGCACUGUCACCAGGAAACACCCUCUGAGGAUGAUGCCAUCCGCUUUGAGAAACACUUCCUUGAAGUCACAACUCUUAGGAGAACUUCAGGCCUUCAGGUGAUUCUUUGGGUUCCUACAGUGCCUACUGUGUCCCCUGUCACCCAGUUGGGAGUCAGUGUCAGCAGCAGGCCAGUGGAGGGAACUGGGCCAGCAGAUGGCAGGGACCGAGAGAAGCCCUGCCUGUGAGAACAGGAAGGUGAGCUGCAGCCACAGGAAAGCAUGGAGUGUGGAGGACCCACAAGACAUCCAUAAGACAGGGCCCCAGCUGUAGAAGAAUCACAGUCUGAGGACACUUCCAAAACUUCAGAGAGAAAGAGGAAUGGAAGGCGCUGGUUAGAAACCUGGGCCUUGGGAUCAGACAGAUUCAAAUCCCAGCCUUGCUACCACUGCCAAGUGUCACUUUGGGCCAGUUGCUUAGCUCCUCUUUGACUCAGUCUUCUCAUCUCUAAAAUGGGCACCAAUGGCAGUCCCUACGGCACGGGGCUCUUCUGGGGGUGAGAUAGGAUCAGAGCGACGAGGCUGAGCAAAGUGCCUGAUGGCCUGCAAGCUGCUCCAGAGCAGGACUCUGUCUAGGUCUGCUCCCCUUUGUAUCCAGAGAACUUGACCCAGAGAAACCACAGUUCAGCCCCGGUCCAGUGAACCAGCUCUGAACCAGCCGUGUGAAAGGUAACCAUUCCCACUGUUCUGAAGGGACCAGUACUGGGGGCUGGGGUAGGAAGUGGGGACUUGGUUCUUUACUGGGAAUCAGAUCACAGGCAAUGCAAGAGGAAGGCAGAUCACCUGGGUAACACUACACCAGGGCUCCCAAAAUCUCUGAGUGAGGACCGCUGUGGUCUCAGUGCUCAGGGGGCCACUGAGCUCCCAGGAAAAUGGCGGGCAAACCUACCACAGGCAAAGGAGGGCAGCAGGGCCAGACAGCCACAGGGAGGAGGCCUGAGCCAGAGCCAGAGGAGCGCACUGGCCUGCAGACCCGCAACCCCAUGACUGUUCCCCUCUGGGAACUGUACAUGUCAGAGCUAAAAGGGGCCAUGCAAAGUGAGAGGAAAGCAGGCCAGCCUUGUCUCCUCUCUGCUCCACCCCCACCACCCCGCCCCGCACCAGCUCCAGGCCACGUCACCCUUCCUUCUGUGUGCUGGACUCCAGCCAUGCUGGUCAUUUCCUCGUUUCUUGAAAAUGCUAAGCUCCUCUACCCACAUCCCCGCCAGACACUCUUUGCUUGACUGACUUCUGCUCACCCUCCAUUUCUCAGUUCAAACAUCACUUCCUGGGAGAGGCUUUCCCUGAACUCCCCGACAAGGUGCAAUGGCCCUCUUCCUCACUCUUAUCCUUACUGCCUCUAGCCUUUUCCUUCCUAGUAUCUAUUGCAAUGACAAUUUUGGUGGUAAAAAAAAAUCUGCUCAAUGUCUAUCUCUCCAACUAGAUUGGACACUCCUGAGAGCAAACACUCCAUCAAGUCCAUGACCCCAGAUCCUGUGGUAUGUAACCUGGCCCCGGUACAUGGUUAGUGCUCAGUAGAUAUUAGGGGAAAGGAGAGAGGACCUUGAAACUCAGAGCAGGGUCACUGGGUUUCUCCUGAAAAAUAAUCAGAUCCACAGACACACUCAACUACUGACAUUCCCCAAUUGAAUAUUCAUUUGCAGCAAUUUCUCACUCUAUUUCUAAGCUUACCCCACAGCAAAAAUGAAUAGCAUCCUCUCCCCCCAAACACAAGUGACUGUGGUAGCAAGUACUUGGAUCUGUGUCCCCUCCUCCCUGCUGUCCGGCAAGAUGCCAUGAGUGAUGUUAGGUGAACCAUCCCUUUGAUCUUGCUAGUGAGAAAAUACGUUCAGGACUACAUCCCAGGCAGAAAUGAAAGUUGGAGGUAUAUUCCAUAUCCUGUGAUAAAUCAUAAUGGAAAAGAAUAUGAAAACAAAUGUAUUAAUAUAUAAUGUGUAACUGAGUCAUUUUGUUGUACAACAGUAAUUAACAUUUCCUUCAAUAAAAAAGAAAAAAAGCUGGAAAAACAGACUUUUUUCUUGUGCACUCCACCAUCCUGCCACCUGCUGAAAUCUGACGAGCAAGACACCUGAGCAGCUUUUCUGACCCGUGGUCAAGAAAUCGUAGUUUGUUUCUAGAGGUCACUUCAUUCUUCGCUCUUUGUUUUUCUUUCUGUAUCAUCACUCAUGGGAAGCUCGGAUCCUUUUAGGGGCUUACGGAGUUCAGGCAGAGAACAGCUGGCCCUAGAAGGCCAGCUCAUUCUGAAGGAAGAAAAAUGGCAAUUUCCCAGCAUUUCACUUCUAAUAGUUCAUUAGUGAAAUGAAGUCGCUCAGUUGUGUCCAACUCUUUGCGACCCCAUGGACUAUAGCCCACCAGGGUCUUCCAUCCAUGGAAUUUUCUAGGCAAGAGUACUGAAGUGAGUUGCCAUUUCCUUCUCCAGGGGAUCUUCCCAACCCAGGGAUCAAACCCUGGUCUCCAGCAUCGCAGGCAGAGGCUUUACUGUCUCCUCCCAAAUCUCUGAAUCCUCAUUCUGAACCAACAAAUGAGGAAAACUGAUGCCUAGAAAUUUGAAGUGACCUUCAGACUCACCCAACCUGCAAGAGGUGGCUGUGGCAUCAAACCUCCGUGUCUUUGCCCUCACAGCCUGAACUCUUAAGUGCUGCACUUUGUUGCAAGAAUAAUUGCAGCUUACAAGAGGGCGAUGGAGACCAUCCCUGGCUGGAUCACCUCCACCCCGGAGGCCCUUCACUGCCUUCACCACCCAGACAGAAGGUUCCCUCGUGAUCCGGGCGGUUUCCUUGGCACCAGCUGGCACCAGGUAUCUCGGGCAACCUGGGCUGUCCCCGGGGGAUGACUGCGAGCCGCUAGAGCCCUUCACAUUGCUCCAAACGUGGCCAGGUUGGGAUGCUCGGAUUCUCCCUAGAAAAGGGAAUUCUCACGUGCUUAUUAAAGCAGAAGUGGCUUAAACCCAGACCCGUGUCUUAGCUUCACAGGGACUGCUGCCACCGCUUGAAAGUAUUCCACAUGAGCAAGAUCUGUCCGGGAGGGGGCUGAAGCGGCAGUGAGUCACUGGUUUGGCAGGUGAGGUCAUCGUGGGGUGACCGUCUGCGUCAGGCGGGCUCCUCACCUCCCACUUCUCCCAUCUUCUCCCCUCAGGGGCGGCCAGGUCACCAGCCAGCUUAGCUGGAAGUCGAGCUGCUCCAGUGUGAUGUGCACCGGGAGACAUUCCUCUUUAUGACUCAGUGAUUCAACUCCCCGGCAGAUGGGCUCAUAAAGCCUCCGAGACCCCAUGCAAGUGUGAGGCCUGACCCACAUCACUUUGUGCGAAAUGAGAGGAUUAACAAAUGAGUGAGCAGAUUGCUUUUACCCAUGGGGAAACAUCGACUGCUGCCCACCUCCAUUCACGCAGCUCCCACAUGGCUUCUCACCAGGACCCUGACAUCCAGCCUUCGGGGCCUUGCCUUCAGCCAGUGAUGAAAGCUCUCCAUGUCCAGGAUGUAGAAAAUAGGGUCGCGCCUUCCAGUAAACAGGCUGGGCUGAAGGGAGGGGAUGCUGUGGGGAGCAGUGGUUCACAGUGA